AAAGGAUAAACAUUAUGGAUUUCCAUUAUCUCAAGCAAACUUUCAAUAUUAUGUGUUGCUUCUCUUAAAUGAGAUAAAAACCCAAGGAUGCAAAAAACUUUAUAUAAAAUAGUGCGAAGAAGAAGUAGUAACUGAAAUGAACAGCAUAAUAGAAUUUGAUAAGUUUGACUCAGCACUUGACAAUGUUUCAUCUAGUAACUCAGUAGUAUCUCUGCAGUUGUAAAUUGCUAAAUACUGAUUUGACAGAAACAAAGAGUUCAAAAUAUUAGUGGUAAGAACUGUCAAAAACUUGUGAUAGCUAUGAAGAAGAGGUUAGUAAAUUAAAAGUGCAUUCCUAUAAAUACUCUGUUUAAUUUUAUAAUGAUAUUACUCCCAUUUUACAAUCCAUUAUACAAUUCCCAUGCAUGGCUCUACGUUAGCCGUUUUACCAUAAUGGGAUGACUGAAUAACCGUGAAUUUCAUACGCGCAAACUAGCACAUGUGCAAAGCAGUUACAAAAACUGGCACAAUGCCAAAUGGCAUAAGUGCAAAUGGGCAUAACUGCACAAAAAGAAUUCCAAACAUUGGCAUAAUUGCAAACUGCUAUAAGUGCAAACUGGCAUAUGUGUAAAUUGGCAUAAGUGCGCUAAAUAGAUUUACAAACAUUCGCAUAAGUGUGAAUUGCCAUAAGUGGGAACUGGUAUAAGUGUGAAGCAGUUGCAAAAACUCGCAAAAGUGCAAACAACAUAAAUGCAAACUGGCAUAAGUGUGCCAAAUAAAUUUGCAA